GCGAGUUUGGUGUAGUUUGGUAUCACCUAGCCUUGCCAAGGCUAUAACCGGGGUUCAAAUCCCCGAACUCGCA
rnacentral:tRNA from 1 species